rnacentral:rRNA from 1 species
GAUCGGCCACACUGUACUGAGACACGGCCCAGACUCCUACGGGAGGCAGCAGUAGGGAAUCUUCCACAAUGGACGAAAGUCUGAUGGAGCAAUGCCGCGUGAGCGAAGAAGGUUUUCGGAUCGUAAAGCUCUGUUGUAAGGGAAGAACACGUACGGGAGUAACUGCCCGUGCCAUGACGGUACCUUAUUAGAAAGCCACGGCUAACUACGUGCCAGCAGCCGCGGUAA